CUGAGAAGCCAAGGCUUGGUACUCAGUCCUUUAAGUUAGUACUGGCAGUGAAGGGCGUGAGUAAAAUGUUUUUCUGUCUGUGAUGGACGGAUGAUGGGACAGGAACUGAAGCACCACAGGAACCUGGAGUUAGCGGAUGCCGAAGCCAUGGAGGAUGCUAUUAGCUUACGCUUUGGUUCUUAGAGAACACAGGGCCUCCAGCCCAGGGGAGGUGGCUGCCCCCUUACCCCAGUCACUGAUUAUGAAAAUGCCUUACAGGCGUGCUUGUCCACAGCCCUAUCUUAAGGAUGCAUUUUUACAAUUGUAGCUUCCUACACCAGUGAUUAGCUUGUGUCAAGGUGACAUAAAAGUAGCCAGUGCACACUCAUGCAAGGUAUUAAAACAUGGAAGUAAAAUGAGAGUUCACAAAUAUUUUAAUUUUUAGGUGCAACAAAACCUGCUCAUUUGAAGGUGCUUGAACAAAUAUUUUCUAAACACUUGUCAUGGAGAGUGAUUGAAACAAGCUGCCAGGACUACAUUUGCCAAUAACAAGCAUGUAGGUGGCUGUAGUGGAUGUCCAACUUUGGGAGCUGUGAUGUCUAAAAACCCUUUAUUGUUUUGGGUAAGUUUGCUUAAUCAGUCAUGUAUCUGGAUUCAAUACUGUUUGAUAACACUGAGGGGCUGGGGCCAGUUCGUUUUGAAGAUCAUUAGGGUGAACACCUGGGCCUAGUUUGAGAUGGAAG
rnacentral:lncRNA from 1 species